UCUUCAGGCGAACAUUGACAUCGAAGUGAUACCCUAUGAUAUCAAGAAAAAUCCUAUGGAACAAAGAAGCAGAUAAUGAUCACAGAAGUGCAACAAAGAGCACCAGGACCUGAUCAUCAAAUGUUAUGGUGUAGAUCUAAUCAGGAACAAGACACCUAAGUUGAACUCUGGCAAGGUUGUCCCAUGCAGAAGGUUUGAUACCCAGGCUUCUUUUGUACAAGUCCCUAGUCCACCCUCAUCUUGAGAACUGUUCCGGUGUCUGGGAUCCCUACAACAUCUCAGAUGUCCAGGACGCUACUUCACAAUGGGGACCACAAGAGAAGCAGCAGUUUGACUGAGAUGAUCAGCACCUUUUAGUUGCCUACUAUAUCUACAACUACAAGGCACUCUGCAAGAAGACUGGGAAUGGUGCACAAGAUAGUCAAUGGUCUCUCUGCUCUUCCUUGAAAAUUUUCCCACUGCACUACUUAUAGCUACUUGCGCCCUCUAUAUAGCAAACAAUGCCUAAUCUGUGCCUGUUGGUCCCCCAUGAUCCUCUUUUUCUUAUAUUAAUUGAGAGCUGAUUUGAUGAGAUAACCACCUGUCAGUGACCUUGCAGGGUGGUCUUAUCCCCCUGGCCAAACUAGUACAGACGGGCUUUAACAAAUCACGAGCAGGAAGUACCAUGACAUGACCCUCCAGUUGCACCAAGCCAGAAGCGACAUAGGUAGACAAGUUUGUAUUUGCCCAACACUCUGUCCCAAAGUUAAUGGAACUGACUUCCAGCAAAUAUAGUGCAUGCUGACAGUCCAGAGAACUGCCAGGGACUACUUCUGAGGCAUCUAUUCUCCUUAUCCCACUUAGAAACAAUCUGUCUUCCUCACACCACUUGUAAUCUUUAGUAUUAGUUCAUCUUCAUGAUAGGCUACAACGCCUUUUGAAGAUUACCAGAAGAAGAAGAAGAAGAAGAUAUAUCGAGGAUCAUGAAAGUAAUCAUUUGUUCUUUUAAAUGCGUGUACAUGUAACAUAGUUUUUUGAUAUUUAAUCUUAAGUCAAGUUCUGACAAAAAUAUGAGGGAUGCUGAACUGGAUAGUAAAUUGUAGGGGGGGGGGGAUAAAAUGAUAUAGUUCAAUAGUAAGACUGUAUUAAUAUAAUUAAUAUUAAUAAUAAUAACAAUAUUAAAAAUAGUAACAAUAAUGACAA
rnacentral:lncRNA from 1 species